rnacentral:ncRNA from 1 species
AGGAGCCGGAUGCGGGAAAACUCGCACGUCUGGUUCUACAGACCAGCAGGUAGGGCGACUUACCUGCUGAGUUUAAU